rnacentral:hammerhead_ribozyme from 1 species
AUACUGCUGAAGAGUCCCAAACUAGGACGAAACAGCUGUCCAGUAU